GGCAGGGCGCGAUGGCUCACACCUGUAAUCCCAGCACUUUGGGAGCCUGAGGCCGGUGGAUCACUUGAGGUCAGGAGUUCAAGACCAGCCUGGCCAACAUGGUGAAAUCUCGUCUCUACUAAAAAUCCGAAAUUAGCUGGGUGUGGUGGCACAUGCCUGUAAUCCCAGCUACUUGGGAGGCUGAGGCAGGAGAAUCUCUUGAACCUGAGAGGUGGAGGUUGUAGUUAGCCGAGAUUGUGCCAUUGCACUCUAGCCUGGGCAACAAAGUGAGACUUUGUCUCA
rnacentral:sRNA from 1 species